rnacentral:rRNA from 1 species
GAUUAAUGCUGGUGGUAUGCAUAACACAUGCAAGUCGAACGAGUGGAACUUGUUCUGCUAGUGGCGAACGGGCGAGUAAUACAUAUUUAACUUACUUUUACGAGGAGGAUAGCAGCUCGAAAGGGCUAUUAAUACUCCAUAGGUUUAUAAACUAAAUUAAAGAGGCUCCUUUGGGGCCUUGCGUAAAACUAGGAAUAUGUCCUAUUAGGUAGUUGGCGGGGUAAAGGCCCACCAAGCCAAUGAUGGGUAGCUGGACUGAGAGGUUGAACAGCCGCAAUGGGAUUGAGAUAUGGCCCAUAUUCCUACGGGAAGCAGCAGUGAGGAAUUUUUCACAAUGGACGAAAGUCUGAUGGAGCAAUACCACGUGAACGAUGAAGGUCUUCUGAUUGUAAAGUUCUUUUAUUUAGGAAAAAAAGCGUGCUAGGAAAUGAGCGCGCCUUGAUGGUACUAAUUGAAUAAGUGACAGCUAACUAUGUGCCAGCAGCUGCGGUAAAACAUAGGUCACGAGCAUUAUUCGGAUUUAUUUGGGCGUAAAGGAAGCGUAGGCGGGGAGGUUGAUCCAUUGUUAAAAGCAUUUGCUUAACAAAUGUGUGCAUUGGAGAUCGCCUCCCUAGAGUUAAUCAGGGGGUACUGGAAUUCAAUGUGUAGCGGUGGAAUGCGUAGAUAUAUUGAGGAACACCAGAGGCUAAGGCGAGUGCCUAGGAUAUAACUGACGCUGAGGCUUGAAAGCGUGGGGAGCAAAUGGGAUUAGAUACCCCAGUAGUCCACGCCGUAAACGAUGAGCAUUGGGCAUUUGACAUCUGGUCGAGUGCUGUAGCUAACGCGUUAAAUGCUCCGCCUGGGUAGUAUAUAUGCAAAUAUGAAACUCAAAGAAAUUGACGGGGACCUGAACAAGUGGUGGAGCAUGUUGCUUAAUUCGAUAAUACACGAAAAACCUUACCAAGGCUUGUAAUCUAUUGCGAAGCUAUAGAAAUAUAGUGGAGGUUAUCAGUAAGACAGGUGGUGCAUGGCUGUCGUCAGCUCGUGUCUUGAGAUGUUUGGUUAAGUCCCGUAACGAGCGCAACCCUACUCUCUAGUUACUUAGUUCUAGAGUGACUGAAUCGUAAGAUAUAGGAAGGAUGGGGCCAAGUCAAGUCAUCAUGCCCCUUAUGCCUUGGGCUGCAAACGUGCUACAAUGGUAGGUACAAUGUGUUGCAAACUAGCGAUAGUGAGCCAAUCACCUAAAGCCUAUCUCAGUCCGGAUAAAAGG